UACAGAGGUCCCCAAGCGUUGUUCGGAUUCACUGGGCGUAAAGGGUGCGUAGGUGGUGAGGUAAGUCGGAUGUGAAAGCUCGGAGCUCAACUCCGAAAUGGCAUUGGAAACUACCUUGCUCGAGGGUUGGAGGGGGGACUGGAAUGCUUGGUGUAGCAGUGAAAUGCGUAGAUAUCAAGCGGAACACCAGUGGCGAAGGCGAGUCCCUGGACAACUCCUGACACUGAGGCACGAAAGCUAGGGGAGCAAACAGG
rnacentral:rRNA from 1 species